GGAAAGGCAGGGUGUUGAAUUCACACCCAACAUUCAAAGGUCUGACUGGUUUGGCCUCACUGAAUGAAUUCCUUCAAAACUCAUGCGUGGAAAUCCUAGGCAAUAGCAUGAAGAUGUAGAACUGAGGAGGUGGCGAGGCCGUGAGUCUGGAACCCUCAGGAUUGGGAUUGGUGUCCUUUCCACCAGAAGAAACAAGAGAGAGCGAUCCACUUCGCCACAUGAGAGCGCAGUGAUGUGGCACCAUCUGUGAGGGAGCAGACACUUACCAGACACUGCAGGACCCUGAUCUCUGCUCUCCUGCCCGCAGAUCUGUAAGAAAUACUGUGCUGUUUGCUGUCCACCCUCAGGAGCAUUGUCACCUUGGAAGGAAUGUGUGUGACUUCACCAUGCUGUGAGGAAGCCUAAGCUGGGCACAUGAUGUGGGACCAUAGGAAGAGCACGAAGGCCAUGCACAAGUGAGCAGGUCAUUCACAGGUCUUCACCCCCGCUGCCACCAGAGUGCAAUUAAAGUUCCCAGAGAUGGCGGGACACCUGAAAAUGCCCCGCUAAUCUUCCCAUCUUUGUGAAGGAAGUGCCGAUCUUCUCUUCUGCUACUUCCUCUUCUCUCCUGAGCAGAGCAGUGAACUAAGUGUCUUUGUGUCCUACGGCUGCAGUCAUCAGAUGUUUCUACCUUCUUCCCCUUUCUCACCUCUUCUGGAAGCGAGUCUGCCUACUGGAAAUAUGUCCGAGUCUUGCUCUCGAUCAAGAAGUCCACUGCUUCUGAGAAUCUCAUCACAGAAUGGAUGAAUCACCCCAGUUCCUGCCUGCAGGAUUGGAACCCACAAACCUGAAGCUGUUCGGCUUUAGUUCUUCAUUACCUACUUUAUAGAGGGACGGCUAUGGUCUGGUCUUCCACCUGCUGUGUGCUUCGGUCUUUAUUUCUCAGUUGAACUUCAGGAAUGAAAUUAAGAUGACUAUUUAUUCUUUUCUCUCUUGGGUCCCUUGAAAAUGCAAUACAUUUUACUUAA